CGGGUCCUAAGUUUCUAACCUGACCGUGCCUCUGUAUGUCGCCUGAUCCCAGCGUCGCGUCGGGCCGCGGUGGUUGGCGCGUGAAGUUGGUCGCGUGAUUUUCAAAUCCUCUCCGUCCAUUUCGUGCGUCGCAUUAAUUUGCGGGAUGUCGUGAGUGUUGAACAGAUCACAGUUUGGUACGAUCGUACGUUAUCAUCGCGACGUAAAAAUGAAGUAAGUACGCGUUCGAUUACCGGGUCGGGAGUGCCGUACACAAAGUGUCGCGAGCGUUGUGCCGUGUAUUAUACAUGUGUCUACAUACGUGUGUGCAACGAAGAAACCUUAGAGGAGAAGGAGGCCUUGGGGGGCAUCGGGCAACGGCGGAGCAACACUUUGGGUUAACGGCUUUUUACAACUCCGCUGCUGCGCAUCGGGUUGGUCAGUCGAAUCGUGCCUUACUUUAAUUUGAGAUAAAUAGAACUGAAAGAAUACACACUAGGUACUUUCCAUUUACCGACACAAGUCGACACAAGUCUCGUUCUCUCUUUGUUACUCCUUGAAUGCCAAGACUGAUAAAACGACGUUUGUGUCGACUUGUGUAUCAAUACAACGUUUGAUAGAUCUAGUCACUAUUAGUGUCUUGAAAUAGAUGAGCUAAAAACAGAUUAGUACUAAUGGAUAUGUAAUCCUGAAACAUAUUAUUCAUUCGUCUCAUAAAAUUCACGUUGCGACUAACGGGAGUGCCACACAAAAUAUCGCGCGACGAUCGUAUAAAAUUAGUUCGAGCGUAAUUAAUCGUGCUCCCGCGAGUGAAUGCUACAAGGAAACGACAACAGGACAAAAAAGGGGAAGAGGAGGCCUGGGUGGCAUCCCGCAUCGACAGAGCAGUCAAAGAAUCAACGUGGAUGAGUUACUGCGUAUCCGUACUACAGUGAGCGUUAAAUUAUCUCUCCGGCAUCGGCGGAACAACGAUGG